rnacentral:rRNA from 1 species
AACGAUGAUAACUGGGCGUAUGCGAUAUACAGUAUGCUCCUAAGCGAAAGCGUUAAGUUAUCCACCUGGGGAGUACGCCGGCAACGGUGAAACUCAAAGGAAUUGACGGGGGCCCGCACAAGCGGAGGAACAUGUGGUUUAAUUCGAUGAUACGCGAGGAACCUUACCCGGGAUUGAAAUGUAGACGACCGCCGGUGAAAGUCGGCUUUCCUUCGGGACGUCUAUGUAGGUGCUGCAUGGCUGUCGUCAG